UACGUAGGGUGCAAGCGUUGUCCGGAAUUAUUGGGCGUAAAGAGCUCGUAGGCGGUCUGUCACGUCGGCUGUGAAAUCCCGAGGCUCAACCUCGGGUCUGCAGUCGAUACGGGCAAACUAGAGUAUUGCAGGGGAGACUGGAAUUCCUGGUGUAGCGGUGAAAUGCGCAGAUAUCAGGAGGAACACCGGUGGCGAAGGCGGCUCUCUGGGCCUUACCUGACGCUGAGGAGCGAAAGCGUGGGUAGCGAACAGG
rnacentral:rRNA from 1 species